AUUGAUGCACCUUUAUUUUGCAAUGGGUCCACUUGGGUUCAGAAAGAUUGAAUAAUUUGCACCGAGUCUCCUUGGAUUAAGCUGUGGACGUGGUGUAUCUUUGAUUCCAGAACUUUGGAUCUUAGCCUCAAGACAGUGCAUUCACUACUUUUGUAAACCGCAAUCCUGAGUGCACCUCCUAGGGAAGCUUUACUUGAAGUAUUUUCUCCUCUCUGCAUGUCUGAAUAUAGCUCAAGCAGUUGGUGUCACACAUGUCACGUCAGUAACAAGAGCCUUGUCAAAACCGCAAGCAGAGAGAAUUCUGUGCUGGCUGUUGUUCCCCAUGGAUUUCCAGAUACAGGGCUUCCGUAUUUCUCCGUACCACCCUUAGAGCCAGGUUUAUGUCCACUAUAAAAACCAUAGAGGCAGAAUUUGUUACUCUUCAUGCUGUGCAUAAAUUGUUGCUGACAGGCUUUUUGAAUGGUAUUAUCCUCUAAACAUCCUUCAGAGAAGUAAGUAUUUUACUCUCUCCACUCCAUUUUAAAUUCAAAAUUUUCAGCUUCAGGAAUUAACAAAAUCCAAGGAUGUCUUCUUGAUUUACUUUCUUCUCCACUUGUCACUAGCAAGUUAUUUCAGAAAUUUCCCCUUUUCAGAUUCAAAUGGGACAUCAUGAGUUGUUUCUUUCUUCCUCGUACGGUGAAAAUGAUUUAAAAUUAUCUAUAAUUCUAAAAACUCAUAAUCAGUACAACUUAAAAAUUUGAUGAAGAUUUAUAAAUAGGAUCCUUUGGCCUUUAUUAUCAGGCUCGUUG
rnacentral:lncRNA from 1 species